ACAGACUCAUCUGAGCUUCUUCCUCCUCUGUUCCAGCUUUAAAUUAAACAAAAUGAUCACUUGAAUACUAAAGCAACAUUAAUCAUUCAAUAUCACAUGAUUCUAACACACAUGCUGCAUUAUUUGAUUGUAAAAUCGGGGAAUUAAGGUUGUGGAUCUUCAUCUACACUGUAAGGUGGAACAGAAGAGAAGAUAAUCAGAGUUCAAUUUCAAUCAUUUUUUUUUUUUUUUUUUUU